rnacentral:tmRNA from 1 species
GGGGAUGACCGGUUUAGACAGCGUGUAGAGGUGGUGAGCAAGCAUGCAGAGACAUAAUGGCUGUUCUCUUUAAACAUGGACAUUGAAUUUUUUAAAUGGCGAAAAUAACUACGCUCUUGCUGCUUAAUCGAAGUACAGUAGAUUAGCUUAAUCGCCGCAACAGUUGCAGCGACAAGACAUCGUCCGAUGGUCGUAGACCCGAGACACAUCGAUCAGACGGUGCAGGAAAAUCGGGAAUAGGAUUCUUUCUUUCGCGUGGAGAAUCUGAAAAUUUAGCGAAUAAGGAACCAAUUGGCUGUCGUUUGCCUGUUGAUUCUCGAAAACCAAUAAGCGAUAAGCAUGUAGAAAACUCAUUAGUUCCACGUUUGGACGAGGGUUCAAAUCCCUCCAUCUCCACAA